AAAUGAUAUACAGGUGAAACUGCGAAUGGCUCAUUAAAACAGUUAUAGUUUAUUUGGUAAUCGAAUUUACAUGGAUAACCGUGGUAAUUCUAGAGCUAAUACAUGCUGUAAAGCCCGACUCUUCGGAAGGGCCGUAUUUAUUAGAUAACAGACCAAUAUUCCUCGUGUCUAUUGUGGUGAAUCAUAGUAACUAAUCGGAUCGCAUGGGCUAGUCCCGCGACAAACCAUUCAAGUUUCUGCCCCAUCAGCUUUCGAUGGUAGUGUAUUGGACUACCAUGGCUUUUACGGGUAACGGAGGAUUAGGGUUCGAUUCCGGAGAGGGAGCCUGAGAAACGGCUACCACAUCUAAGGAAGGCAGCAGGCGCGUAAAUUACCCAAUCCUAAUUCAGGGAGGUAGUGACAAGAAAUAACGGGUCGGGGUUCUACCCCGGGACUGCAAUGAGAUGAAUUUACACCCCUUUUCGAGUAACAAUUGGAGGGCAAGUCUGGUGCCAGCAGCCGCGGUAAUUCCAGCUCCAAUAGCGUAUAUUAAAGUUGUUGCAGUUAAAAAGCUCGUAGUUGGAUUUCUGGUUGGCUGUUUCUGCCCGCUUGUGCGUGCGCAGUGGUAGCCUACCAUCCUUCUGUUAACCCAGCAGCUCUUCACGGGGCUGUUGGGGGCUCAGAUAUUUUACCUUGAGAAAUUAGAGUGUUUCAGGCAGGCUAGCGCCGGAAUACAUUAGCAUGGAAUAAUAGAAUAGGACUUUUACCUCUUCUGUUGGUCUGAGGGGUUCAAGUAAUGAUUAAUAGGGAUAG
rnacentral:rRNA from 1 species